rnacentral:snoRNA from 1 species
GCUCAGAUGAUGCUAAAACAACAAGUUAUUCCUGAGAUUUCUCUUUGAGGAUUACAAAAUCGAGCUUUUUAAAGCUGGUGGGCA